AACGAACGCUGGCGGCAGGCUUAACACAUGCAAGUCGAACGCAUCGCAAGAUGAGUGGCAGACGGGUGAGUAACGCGUGGGAACAUACCCUUUUCUACGGAAUAGCUCUGGGAAACUGGAAUUAAUACCGUAUACGCCCUACGGGGGAAAGAUUUAUCGGGGAAGGAUUGGCCCGCGUUGGAUUAGCUAGUUGGUGGGGUAAAGGCCUACCAAGGCGACGAUCCAUAGCUGGACUGAGAGGAUGAUCAGCCACAUUGGGACUGAGACACGGCCCAAACUCCUACGGGAGGCAGCAGUGGGGAAUAUUGGACAAUGGGCGCAGGCCUGAUCCAGCCAUGCCGCGUGAGUGAUGAAGGCCUUAGGGUUGUAAAGCUCUUUCACCGAUGAAGAUAAUGACGGUAGUCGGAGAAGAAGCCCCGGCUAACUUCGUGCCAGCCGCCGCAGUAAGAC
rnacentral:rRNA from 1 species